rnacentral:rRNA from 1 species
UACGUAGGGUGCAAGCGUUGUCCGGAAUUAUUGGGCGUAAAGAGCUCGUAGGCGGUUUGUUGCGUCGGCUGUGAAAUCCCGAGGCUCAACCUCGGGUCUGCAGUCGAUACGAGCAAACUAGAGUGUUGCAGGGGGGACUGGAAUUCCUGGUGUAGCGGUGAAAUGCGCAGAUAUCAGGAGGAACACCGGUGGCGAAGGCGGGUCUCUGGGCAACAACUGACGCUGAGGAGCGAAAGCGUGGGGAGCGAACAGG